AUUGAACGCUGGCGGCGUGCUUAACACAUGCAAGUCGAUCGGUAACAGGUGUAGCAAUACAUGCUGACGAGAGGCGGACGGGUGAGUAAUGCUUGGGAAUCUGCCUAUUAGUGGGGGACGAACCCGGGAAACGUCGGGCGUAAUACCGCAUACGCUCUACGGAGGAAAGCCGGGACCGGCAAGCUGGCGCUAAUAGAUGAGCCCAACGCCGGAUUAGCUAGUUGGGUAGGGAACGGGCCUACCAAGGCGACAAUCCGUAGCUGGUCUGAGAGGACGACCAGCCACACCGGAACUGAGACACGGUCCGGACUCCUACGGGA
rnacentral:rRNA from 1 species